AUACUUACAUGGCAGGGGAGAUACUGUGAUCAAGAAGGCGGUUCAUCCAGGGCGAGGCUCAGCCAUUGCAGUCCGGCUAUGUGGUCCCCUGCGAAUUCCCAAAUGUGGGAAUAUCGACUGCAUCAUUACUGGUACUGCGUUUGCGCUCUCCCCAU
ensembl:snRNA U1 U1 spliceosomal RNA